AGCGAACGCUGGCGGCAGGCCUAACACAUGCAAGUCGAACGAACUCUUCGGAGUUAGGGGCGGACGGGUGAGUAACACGUGGGAACGUGCCUUUUGGUUCGGAAUAACUCAGGGAAACUUGUGCUAAUACCGAAUGUGCCCUUCGGGGGAAAGAUUUAUCGCCAUUAGAGCGGCCCGCGUCUGAUUAGCUAGUUGGUGAGGUAACGGCUCACCAAGGCGACGAUCAGUAGCUGGUCUGAGAGGAUGACCAGCCACACUGGGACUGAGACACGGCCCAGACUCCUACGGGAGGCAGCAGUGGGGAAUCUUGCGCAAUGGGCGAAAGCCUGACGCAGCCAUGCCGCGUGAAUGAUGAAGGUCUUAGGAUUGUAAAAUUCUUUCACCGGGGACGAUAAUGACGGUACCCGGAGAAGAAGCCCCGGCUAACUUCGUG
rnacentral:rRNA from 1 species